AAGUUGUUGCAGUUAAAAAGCUCGUAGUUGAACCUUGAGCCUGGCUGGCCGGUCCGCCUCACCGCGUGCACUGGUCCGGCCGGGUUUUUCCUUCUGGGGAGCCGCAUGCCCUUCACUGGGUGUGUCGGGGAACCAGGACUUUUACUUUGAAAAAAUUAGAGUGUUCAAAGCAGGCCUAUGCUCGAAUACAUUAGCAUGGAAUAAUAGAAUAGGACGUGUGGUUCUAUUUUGUUGGUUUCUAGGACCGCCGUAAUGAUUAAUAGGGAUAGUCGGGGGCAUCAGUAUUCAAUUGUCAGAGGUGAAAUUCUUGGAUUUAUGAAAGACGAACAUCUGCGAAAGCAUUUGCCAAGGAUGUUUUCAUUAAUCAGUGAACGAAAGUUAGGGGAUCGAAG
rnacentral:rRNA from 1 species